rnacentral:rRNA from 1 species
AACGAACGCUGGCGGCAUGCCUAACACAUGCAAGUCGAACGAGACCUUCGGGUCUAGUGGCGCACGGGUGCGUAACGCGUGGGAACCUGCCCUUAGGUUCGGAAUAACUCCCCGAAAGGGGUGCUAAUACCGGAUAAUGUCUUCGGACCAAAGAUUUAUCGCCUUUGGAUGGGCCCGCGUUGGAUUAGCUAGUUGGUAGGGUAAAAGCCUACCAAGGCGACGAUCCAUAGCUGGUCUGAGAGGAUGAUCAGCCACACUGGGACUGAGACACGGCCCAGACUCCUACGGGAGGCAGCAGUGGGGAAUAUUGGACAAUGGGCGAAAGACUGAUCUAGAAAUGCCGCGUGAGUGAUGAAGGCCUUAGGGUUGUAAAGCUCUUUUACCCGGGAUGAUAAUGACAGUACCGGGAGAAUAAGCUCCGGCUAACUCCGUG